UUCUCAUUUUUCCUCAUUAAACUGAAUUCAGUUGUUCCUUUUUUUCUAUAUUUCUUCCCUGUUCCUCGUUCUCCAUCCUAUCCCUAUAUCGCUGUUAUCACAAAGCUCCCAAACCCAGUACGAAGCCUUAAUAUAGCUCCUCCCAAACUCAGCCGGUGUGUGAAGCCCGAAUCUUCAGCUCAAAAUCUGAGAAGCUUAAACCCACUGGUGAGGAGGUCCAGCACUGUUUCUGUGGAGGUGGAGAACUGUUUUUGUGGAGCUCUGCUUCCGAAGUUCUUGUGCCUCAUCCCAUCCAAUGUCUCCUUCGUCGUGAAAUACAAAUGUUGCUUGUGUUCGUCAUAUUGGUUGUCAUGGAGGUAAAAACAUUGUAUGUAAAGAACCUUCCAGGAAACAUUACUCAGGAUCGUCUCAAGGAGUUGCUUGAACAUUAUGGAAAAAUCACAAAAGUGAUUGCCCCUUCUUCUAAAGCUGGCCAAGAAAAGAGCAAAUACGGUUUGUGCACU